AAAAGAGAACGAAAGGGAAAAAGGAAAGACCCACUGCCAAUGUGGUCCGUUGAUGACCUUCCCUUUUCUCUUUUCUCUUUUUUUGUUUCUUUCCCUCUCGU
rnacentral:ribozyme from 14 species